UGGAGGAAAGCCCGUGGCCUGGAGGCAGAGAGAGGGGGGCGUGAUUGACAAGGCGUGAGGGAAGGAGAGCCCUUUUCGAUUUUCCCCAUGGAUUUGAAUGGUGAUGGGCUCCUCUCCCGAGCAGGAGCGCAAAAGUUUUCCGUUUUCCUUGCUUAUUGCCGGGACAGGAAAGAUGAAUGAAAAGAUCAAGAGAGUUCCAAGGCAUCCCCCACAAUUAUUCAUUUUUAAUGAAGAAAAUUAAUCUUGCAAAUAAAGAUGUAUGCAUCAAAGCCUAACUUAUUCAAAAUCAAUGACAUUAAGAAAUAUUAACUAGUUUGCUUUUCAGUGAUUAGGUCUGAAUAUAGUUGUGGAUUUGUGUUUUUUAAAGGGAAUAUACAGCUGUCGAUGCUGAAGCAUCCAAGACUAUCUCACUAAUAUUGUUACAUAAAUAACAAAACAAAAAUCAAGCUAUCUCUGGAGGCAAAAAAUGUUGAAACUGAGGGUGUCCUACUUUGAGCACAUCAUGAGAAGGCAGGAUUCUCCAGAAAAGACAUAAUUGUGAGCACAUGAAUCAAGCAGAUAAAGAAUGCAGACUUGAAUGUGUUGACAUUGUUGAGAUUGGUUUUCAACCAAACAACUGCAAGCUGAUGCCCACCAAGUGAAUCUGACAAUGGAAACUGAAAUCCUCCAAGCCAAGCAUCCUGGAAAUUUUAACAAUUGUAUCUGGAACCACUGCUGCCCCCUAGGGCAGCUGUGGAACUUUGCAGGUGCCAUGGUAACCACUGGUAGAAGCUCUGUUGUUAAACAUUAUUUGUUUUGAUCGCUUCUCCUUGGUUGCAUUUUACAUUAUUUGGUUGUAUCAUACUGGACAAUUUGAAAAAAAAAUAUUUUAUCCAUUAAAAAGCAACAUCACUGCAGCAUCAAACACUGGUUAUCGGAAACAUUAAUGAAAGUAUGGCAUGUUCUAGCAAAAUUGCUUUUCCACAGAAAAAAUAUAUUUAAAAAUACUUAUUUACAAUGUUACUGAAAUAACUGUUUGCUGACAACUCAAACUUUUUAUCAAGAGCAGACAUGAAAAGCAACUGGGAAAACUUCCUUGCUUAUAUAGCUUAUGCGGCACCAAGCUGGUUUUACAACAUAUUUAAAACUAUUACAAACAUUAUAAUUCAAAUAGAAACAACAAUGGACUCUUUAUUCUACAGGAUGUAAGUAUAA